rnacentral:rRNA from 1 species
AGCCAGGAUGUUGGCUUAGAAGCAGCCAUCAUUUAAAGAAAGCGUAAUAGCUCACUGGUCGAGUCGGCCUGCGCGGAAGAUGUAACGGGGCUAAACCAUGCACCGAAGCUGCGGCAGCGACACUAUGUGUUGUUGGGUAGGGGAGCGUUCUGUAAGCCUGUGAAGGUGGCCUGUGAGGGUUGCUGGAGGUAUCAGAAGUGCGAAUGCUGACAUAAGUAACGAUAAAGCGGGUGAAAAGCCCGCUCGCCGGAAGACCAAGGGUUCCUGUCCAACGUUAAUCGGGGCAGGGUGAGUCGACCCCUAAGGCGAGGCCGAAAGGCGUAGUCGAUGGGAAACAGGUUAAUAUUCCUGUACUUGGUGUUACUGCGAAGGGGGGACG